rnacentral:rRNA from 1 species
UUAAGUUGGUGCUUGGGCGAGAGUAGUACUAGGAUGGGUGACCUCCUGGGAAGUCCUCGUGUUGCACCCC